AUUUAAUUUAUUUAAACUAUUAAUAAGUGAAGCUUGCAGGUACGACGAAGGGUACUUUUGGAAUAUUGAUAAUAUUUUACGGCCAUUUUGUAUUUAUGUUUCACUGACAGCCCUCUCAUUUCAUCUGUUCUUUCGUUACACGUGUAUUAACUUUUGGGACAACUGGCUUCAAUUCCUUUUCUUACCCGUCCCACAUGGCUUUACCUUCAAGCUGCUGAUUUCCACUGUUCUCUCGCCUUCUUCACUCCUCAUUCUCAACUCAUUGGUUUGAUUAUAUUCUGGUGGAAUCUGCAUGUUGCCGGUAGCUUUUGUAUAUGCAUGUGAUUAUUCUUUCUGAAUAUUCAAUGGAAGCAUUCUGAAUUACCAUUAGGAAAAAACUGAUAAUGAAAGGUGAAGAACUUUGUUGUAGCAAAGGUGGUCCUUCAUGAAAUGUUUAAUUAGGGAAAAGAGACAGCAGAACAGCGAAUCGGGCAGGAGCUAAUGCUUCUGCAUGUGGAAAUAUUUGUUUCGCAUGUCCGUCAUAAAUGUGAGCGUUUUUUGUUUAGUAUGGAAAAUCUAGGAGAUUGAACAGCUUGUUUGCGUGCACUGUUUCAUCUGAGAAGGAAACAUAAAGGGUUGAAAGCCAUGGAAAAGGGAUCUUAGAACCUCAAGGUUUUGGCUGAAUUGGAAGCCAAGAUGUCAAAAAGAAACUACAUGAUCAUGCUUUUCCUGAAAUCCACUCAGGUUGGCUGACCUUUCCAAAGCACUUUCUAUGAUUGAUAGAAGAAAUUAUUUGUUGCACGCAAUGAGUUCUGAAUUUGAUGCUUCUGUCCAAAAUAAAACUUGGACUUUGGUGCCGCCUCCUCCAAAUGCAAAUAUUAUUGGCAACAAAUGGGUAAUUCAGAUUAAGUUUUGUGCAAAUGGUUAUGUUGAAAGAUAUAAAGUUCGUUUAAGGCUGAAACUUCGGAUCCUGCUUGGACGAAACGAAAGAUAUUGUCAAUAAAUAGAAGUACGUUACAUGCAUUAGCUAUGCAGAUGCACAAACUAUCAUGGCCUAUUAGACUUGACGUCCUCCCCAAUGGCCAGUAUUUUAUUCAAGGGGUACUGCAAUGGGAGAAAACAUGCUCCUAUGGUCCGUUGCUUUAUUUUCGUCCAGUGGUGGAAGCUAAGCAGCUCCGGGUAUAUUAAAAUCAGAUAUUACUGGGCGCCGGAUUCAAUCUACUUGCAGCUUGCAAUCCCCUGCUUCAUAAAUUUAGUGUAAAGGUGGUGGUGGAAGUCUCAUUUUCCUCUUAAUUUGAAUAUAGGUACUCAAGACUUAUUUGGCUCUGAUUAGCUUGGAUCUCAAUUUUUUUUUUUUUUUUUGGAUAAAGCCUUGUUAAGAUUUUACCUAUGGUUUACCAGUACUACAUAUGCUCUUCUGUAAAAGUUGAUUAAUCUGGUGAAAAAUCUUAAAGAUUGGAUAUUGUCGUUAUUUGGAGUUGGUACAUUUUUGUUUCUGACUGCAGAUUACUUGAUUACCAUUGAAAACCAUCUAACUGGAAGGUGGAUUAUGCAAUAUUCACAUUAUAUAAGUAUAUUUCAGAUCUAUUAUCUUUGAGAAUAAUUCAUUCGGAAGAAAGAUGCUUUACUAAUUGAAUCUAAUGUUAUAAUUUGUGCUUUUAUAGCAGAACAACUUGGGACAAGAUAAUUCCUCAUGUAGUAUCAUGGUUUACUGGUGAGGCUGCUGAAUAUGAUAAAUCUGAAGAUUUGGAAGAUGUUAUCAAAGAAGAUGGAGAUGAAGAUGAAGACAAGUGGUGAUGGAAAGUUAGGAUUUGUUAUGCCUGCUUUUACAAAGUCAUUUACAAAUCUCCACUUAUCUGAGUGGAGAUGUUUUAGCGAAAAAGGGUUCUUGGAUUUCACACUCUAUUUUCAAGCUGCCCAUUAACAAAAGAGUCAUCAUCGACGUAGUGCUGAUUCUUUGUUUACCAAAUCCAGAAAAGAGAGCUUUCUAACUUCAACCUAAUAAGAAGUCUUAUAUAUGGUUCUCGCACUAGCAUCUCUAGGGUCUGGAGGUACACGUGUUACAAUUGGAUCCAUGCGAUCAUAUCACUUUACAGCCAAAACAUCAAGGAACAUUCUUUAACUGGUACGCAUUUACAUUAUAUACAUCCAUUGUUGUAAGUUCCGCAGCUAUUGUCUACAUUGAGGACAAUAUUAGUUGGAUUUGGGAGUUUCCCAUCUCUUUAGCCCUUAACAUCCUUGCCUUAGUGAUAUUUCUAUCUGGGUGAUUCUAUUGCAUAUUAAAGAACAAGAAGGCAGCCCUCUUAUCAGCAUGGCUCGUGUCACUGUUGCAGCCAUUCGAAAAAAGGAAAAUCCCCUCUUCGAGAAAAGUCAUCAGUACUACCUUCAGGUAAAACCUCUAUACUAAUUCUUUCUUGUGUUUGAGUUAAUACUCAUCCCCAGGGGGCGGAUCUAAGACAUGCUAUAUGGAUUCAACUGAACUUAUUGUUGACGACUCAACCUAUGUACACACAGCUAUGAUCACAAUCAUCAUAAAUCCACCGACUCCAACUCUUCAUUCACCUCUCCUCAUACUCAUUUGCUUGAAGCUCUCUUAUAUAGGUUCCUCAAUCGUGAGGCCUUCAUCACUGGGGGAGACAAUAAAUCAGAUGGCUCUAUUGAGAAUAUACAUGGAGACUCUACAGUCCAACAAGUAGAAGACUUGAAAAGCUUGAUCAAGCUUGUCCCUUUGUGGAGUAGUGAACUAUACUUACAAUAGUUUCAACAGAUUUUGGAAAUUUGUUCCUCGAUGCAUGAGAACUUUAUGAAGUGUUAAUAUAUGUUGUAAACAUUAAUCAACUUGACAGAUGCUUCUUUUUUCAGUUAUUUUUAUUCUUUCUAUUAA